CCCGGGUCCGGGUGAGGCCACGCGCCCCUGGGUCUGGGAGAGGCCACGCGCCCCUGGGUCCGGGUGAGGCCAUGUGUCCCUGGAUCCGGGUGAGGCCUUGCGCACCUAGGUCCGGGUGAGGCCACGCGCCCCUGGGUCU